UCACCUUAACUCCAUUGCCAUUUUUCUUGGUAUCUCCCAACAUCAACACCAGCAAAUUGUUUUCAAGUCGGAAAAAUGGCAACCGUUACAACACAAGCCUCAGCUGCCAUUUUCCGGCCAUGUGCCUCAAAAACCAGAUUUCUCAGUGGAUCAUCUGGUAAAUUAAACAGAGAGGUCUCGUUUAAGCCCUUGACUUCUUCAUCUUACAGCUCAUUCAAAGUGGAAGCUAAGAAAGGUCAAUGGCUUCCAGGCUUAGCCUCUCCUACUUAUCUUGAUGGAAGGUACAUAUUGAUCCGCAUAAUCAUCUCAUCUAAAAAUCUUAAGUUUUUUAUAGAAUGUAUUAAACACACGUCUUCUCACCUGUGACCCUUGAUUUUAUUUUAUGGGCUAAGCAUGUGUAUUUUUUUCCUGAUAAUGAGUGACAACGUGAAUUGUACAUAGGACCUUUCACCUGUACCACAUAGAGAUCAUUUAAAUUUAAACUGUUAGAGAAAAAAAGUACAGUCUGUGCACUACACGUGCGGGAUCCGAGGUAAGGUCGACACAAGGGUCUAUUGUAGCAGCUUUACCUUGUAUUUCUGCAAGAGCCUGUUUCCACGGCUCGAACUCGUGACCUCCUGAUCACAUGACAACAAUUUUCCCAAUUACAUAAUUAUACGCUUACCAUUUUUUGCUUUUAUAACUGAGUUGUCUAGUGGUUUCUAACCUUGCUGUAAUACUCGACUGCUUGCUUGUCUU
rnacentral:lncRNA from 1 species